GGAAAAAAAAAAAAAAUAAAGAAUGGCCAUACAUCAGUUCAGUAGGUUUCAAGGCAUCACACUCUUGAGAGCACCUCUCACUUUCUUGGAUUGAAACCAAGUUAGUUGUGUAACACUGGUGAACACAAACUUUGUUUAAUGCCUAUAUGAAAACAGUUGGCUUUCCAAACAGAGAGCUUUGAUGUGGAACCAUAUUUAUGUAUUCUUUGCUCAAACCAUUUUUCUGUAGGAUUGGCUCUCAUUUUUUUCGGAGAAGGCUGAGGCUUUGGCCUAUUAUGGGGAUUCCUAGUGAGCCUGGAGCAAGUUUCUUUGUUGAACUUCUUCCCUGGGUAAGGAGCUGAAGUUGUGCCUAUUGAGUAGAUAUUAUAAGAGGCCAUGGUGAUUGAGAUUUCAGCGGAGAAACAGUAUUUGCUGGUUUUCAAGUUGGAAUAUUAAAAUGUACCCGCAACCUCGUGACAACAGUAGAAAAAAACAGUGUGAGAAUUGAUGCACAUGUUCAGCAUUCUACAAUUCUCUACAAAUAAAUAUGGGUAGAAAGAUUUGUGGUAUCUUUCUGUCGUUUUAUGGGUUCAAUAUUCAAUGUCAAUUCCAUAAGAACAUCUGUUAAGAAUUUUGACUUUACCUGAAAUAUGACUUGUGAAGGGUACAGAGAUAAGAUGACUGCUGGCAGGCGCUAGCUUUCGUUGAUUCAAUUUAAGAACAGUACAGGAAUUGUUUCAUUAACAUACCAAAAUUCUUCUGGAGAUUCCUAUGCUGAAUAUUCCCGAAUGUUUGAUUCAAGAAGCAGCUCAAAAGGUGAUAUUAGAAGGUGAAUUGGGCCCCAAGUUGAAGGAAUUUAGAAUCCAGCAAUUCGGAUGUCUAAACAUUGCAUUCUCUUCCUCUUCCAUUGCCCAUGUAUAUGCUACUUCUCAAGGACCCACCGAGCUUUCCCUCUCUAGCCUGUAGUAAAAAAUUUGAAAAAUAAAUAGAAAAAAACGAGAACGGGCAAAAAAUAUAAGAAGCAUAAUGUGAAGAACAACGCAACAAAGAUAAGAAACAGGUUUACUAUUUCUUUCACUUAAAAUGACAUGCAAUUUGUUUCUUCAUACAGAACUAGUAAGGGCAUAACAUGCUGGUAAAAAUUUGUCCAAGAAAUUAAAAGCUUCCAAAUACAAACAUCAGAGUUUCUAUAUCUCAAUACAGCUGUUGAAAUUAGCGGUAUACAAAAUCCUCCAUGCCAUCACUCUGCCUUGGCUGGAAUGUGGUUGCCACUAGUUGCAAUUUUGUACACAUAAAACCCUGUCAUAAGAGCACUGCAAGAAACGACAACAAUUAAGUUCAAAGCUCAUAAAAAUUGAAAUGAAUGUUUCUACCAACAAAGAAAAUCCCCAAACUAUUUACAUAGCUGUCAGGAGUUCUGAUAAACAAAGAGAAAACCUUCAAGUUGAGUAUUCAAAGUUUCAAACCAAAUGGCUAGCCUGAUAAAGAUGUCACAAGCAAUAUGAUGGAAUUAAAUAUCACAUAACAUAACAUGUACACUCUUGUAGUCUAGUUGAGCGAGUUAUGUUAAAAGUCCACAAGCAAAUAAAUGUCUCAUCCCACCAAAAAAAAAAAAAUCUCCCUGAGCUGUUUUAUUUUAUGCUGUGGGUUUUAGUCAUUAACACUAUAAAGCUGUCCAUUUCUAAAUUUUAUCCCUUUCUCUCACCAUUAUGAUGCUCUAACCAGCAACAGUUUCUUCUAACUGGUUUGUAAAUAAUAAAAAUGAUAAACAUUUAACAACAAUUGUUACCAGCAGUGACAGAAACUAGCAAACCAAACUCAGUUCUUAUUAAAUGGUUACCAUACAUCAUAACAAGUUAAUAAAUCAUACAUUUUCUGAUCUUGAUGGUCCUUAAAACAACUGAUGAACAUCACAAUUACAUCUGUAUGGUUAUUGAAAUUUGAAACCCACGGCAUCCCUGAUGACAACCUAGCCAAAUGAGCCAGGCGCCAAGCAGCUGAAUGGAAGAACAAGUUAACUAGUCUUCAGUACCGAAUCAAUUACAUCCCUUCUUGGCAUCUAAAAUUGUUAAGAGGCAAUGUUAUUGCCUAAGAGGCUAUGAAUUCAAAUUCUAAUAAACUUGGAUUGCGAAGUCAUCAUGUAAGAAAGAGAACAAUUCCUGUCUCUAAGUUGGGUUGGCAAAUCUUUGGUGUGGCAAGGAGCAGCUUGGCAAGGAUUCCCCUAUUUUUUAAGCUUCUUGGGUGGCUAAUAUUUUGUGAUUUGAUAGAUGGAUGAGAUAUUUGUACUGAAGGAGAUUUCCCUAGCACCUUGUCAGUAUUUUUGUACAGAAGUUGUGUAAUGAAAUUGAUGUAGAAUUAACCCUUGCCAACAGGUCUGUCAGCGCUAUUCUAGUCAUUUUGCCUAUCCAGGACAAAGGAUGCUUGCCUUCAUUUAUAGAAGUGAAUAUUGAUCUAGAAAUAAGUUGCAAGACACAAACUGAAAAAUUUGGUAUCUAAAGUAAACCAACAUCCAACAUAGCAAACUGCAUUAAGCAUGAGUUAUAUUACCUUAUCCCAGCAAUAAUAGCAGCAGGCAUAAUCUUAGAGGUUUGCACAUAACGCUGUCCCAUGAUGAACGUCAGUGCUGCUGCACAAACAGUUUCGAUGACCAAAGCAAGGUAAGAGUUCUUUCGCCUCCCAAAAGCCUUGAGACUCAAAUAUCCAGCUAAGACGAGAACCAAACCAGUGCCCACUCCCCCACCCAACGACGCCACGCUCCCUCUCUUGACAUACCCAACCAGUCCUCCUACCACCAGAAUUAGACCGUAAGGGAUCGUGAAGCAGAAAUCGUGCAUCUUUUUCUUCUCUCUGUGUCUGAACUGCGAAAACUAAAUUUAGGUUUCCCAAAUCGGGCAAAGAAAAUGUCUCUACGUUUUGGGUUUCCUUCUGUAUUUUUCUAUUGCCAUGACCUGCGAAGGACCUUUAACGAAACUUUCUCGGCUGUACAGUGGAGGCGUGUGGAAUUCCGUUGGCCCACUGUUAGACGAGACAAACUCUGAUGUUUUAUUUUUCUUGUUUCCCUAACUUACCCUUUAAUUAUGCCAAAAUUACAAUUUGGGUCAUCAAAAAUCCAGUACAAACUAUGAGACAUCGAGUGCCACGUGUCGCUGUGAAUAACCGAAGUGUGGGCAAGAUGCCAAAACGGCGACGGAUAACACUAAAGCUCUUCAGUUGACUGUUGUGUAUAUUUGUCUGAGAACCCCGCGUACCGAGUCCUGACCAUGGCAUGGAUCCGGUUAACGACCCGAAACAACCCAAUACUCUGUUCGAUCCUCAAUCCGCAGCAUUGCAAGAAAUUGAACUCUCUUAAAACCCUAACAAUGGCGGUGGCCGAGUCUCAUUCCAAGCGACCCACUUGCCCAUCUUGCUCCAAACCAUCCCGUCUCUGCCUUUGCACUCGGAUACAGAACCCGGGUGGUAUUGAUAACAAGGUGAGUGUAACCAUUCUUCAACACAGUAAAGAAACAAAGCACCCUCUUAAUUCUGUUAGGAUUGCAAAACUGGGGCUUAGCAAUCUCACUGUGGUUACUGUUUCCGAUGUUAAUUUCGGCGCCCAGUUUGUUAUCCGGUUGAUAGAGUCUGAUGGAGUUCCGGAUAGGAAUCAAACCCAGAAACGAAAGCUUGAGGAUAUCGGUGGUUUGAUUUCAGGUAAAGAAAAUAUGGGUGAAGGAUGUGCAAAGUGUUCAAAAGAGAAAGGUUGUAAUCUGGGUGAUGCUAAAGGAGAAUUCAAUUCUGCGCAUGAUUCAGAUUUGUUGGAGAGUUGUGGCUUAGUUUUGGGGACAGAAUAUGAGUCACGAAGCAAUGAAUGCAUCAGUGCAAAUUCUUCAUUUUCUGCAGAGAUACAUUCGACUCUAAAUGAAGCUGUAAUGGCUAACAGUUUUGAUGUUGAACAUGUGUUGCGAGGUGCUGAAGAACCAGUUAUAUGUGCUACCAUUGGCAAACAUGGAGUCAUUAGUCAUCUUGAAAGUAAAUGGAAGCCUUUUCAAACUGAAGCACAAGAAAGGCCAAACUUUGAUCAAUUUUUGGGCUCUCAAUUGGCUGUAGAUGCAUUGGCAAAAGGGUUCAUGGUAAAAAAGUUGCAGAAACGGAAGCUGAAAGAGAGCAUGAAUUUGGAAGAGUAUGAAGAGUUUGAACUUGUAGUUCCUCCUGGAUCAGUACUUUUAUAUCCAAGUGACACAGCAGUUGGCGCUGAUGACCUCCAAGCAAUGAAUAUCGGGGUGAAGAAUUUGAUUGUUUUGGAUGGGACAUGGGCUAAGGCGAAGAGGGUGUAUAAAGAGAAUCCCUGGUUGAGGCUUUUGCCGCAUCUGAAGUUGGUUUUGGAUAAACUGAGCUUGUUUAGUGAGGUGAGACGGCAGCCAAAAGCUGGCUGUUUGUCUACCAUUGAGAGCAUUGUUUAUGCACUGAAGGCAGUAGGGGACAAUCCAGAGGGUUUGGAUAAUCUUUUGGAUGUUUUUGAGUCCAUGGUUGGAGAUCAAAGGCGAUGUAAAGAUGAGAGUUUGCAGUCUGAUCAUUGAGCAAUUCUGGAUACACAACUCUGCCCCACAAUACCAUUUACUUAGGCUUUGUCUGGAUAUGAAAUGAUGUAAUUGAAAAGAAGUGAAACUAUAUGAAGGUGAAAAGGAUAGAAAUAAAUAAAAAUAUAUGAAUUUUCUUCAUACCCAGA
rnacentral:misc_RNA from 1 species